AUCCAUAUUCAUAUUGAUAGCCCCAUUGUAUUUAGAUAGUGUGAGCCAGCAGUGUUCACUUCCACCCAAUUCAGGGACUUCCUCUAGCAAGGUAUUGCAGUUUGGAAGUGGGAACAGAAGAGACUGUGCAAUCUUCACAGGAGAACAUUGUCAUGACAAAGAGGACAAACAAGUUCAAGGCAAAAAACUAAACCAUAACCUUGGGAUUCAAGGAAAAAGUCAUUAAGCACAGAGUUGCCAGUCACCUGCUGGAUGCCACUGACAUGUGAAGAGGGACAUGUUUCCCUCCCCUAUGAUUGCAAGUCUU
rnacentral:lncRNA from 1 species